rnacentral:tRNA from 1 species
GCGGGGGUAACUCAACCUGGGAGAGUGUCGGGCCCAACGGGGCAAAACUGAAGACCAGGUUGGCGGGUAUCCGAAUGUUGAGGGUUCAAAUCCCUCCCCCCGCACCA